UACGUAGGGUGCGAGCGUUGUCCGGAAUUAUUGGGCGUAAAGAGCUCGUAGGCGGCCUGUUGCGUCCGCUGUGAAAGCCCGGGGCUUAACCCCGGGUCUGCAGUGGAUACGGGCAGGCUAGAGGUAGGUAGGGGAGAAUGGAAUUCCCGGUGUAGCGGUGAAAUGCGUAGAUAUCAGGAGGAACACCGGUGGUGCAAACGGCUUUCUGGACCGUAACUGACGCUGAGACACGAAAGCGUGGGGAGCAAACAGG
rnacentral:rRNA from 1 species